rnacentral:rRNA from 1 species
CCUACGGGAGGCAGCAGUGGGGAAUCUUGCACAAUGGGGGAAACCCUGAUGCAGCGACGCCGCGUGAGCGAUGAAGCCCUUCGGGGUGUAAAGCUCUUUCGGCAGGGAAGAUGAUGACGGUACCUGCAGAAGCAGCUGCGGCUAACUACGUGCCAGCAGCCGCGGUAAUACGUAGGCAGCAAGCGUUGUUCGGAGUUACUGGGCGUAAAGGGUGUGUAGGCGGCUUUUUAAGUUUGGUGUGAAAUCUCCCGGCUCAACUGGGAGGGUGCGCCGAAUACUGAGGAGCUCGAGUGCGGGAGAGGAGAGUGGAAUUCCUGGUGUAGCGGUGAAAUGCGUAGAUAUCAGGAGGAACACCGGUGGUGUAGACGGCUCUCUGGACCGUAACUGACGCUGAGACACGAAAGCGUGGGUAGCAAACAGGAUUAGAUACCCUGGUAGUCCACGCCCUAAACGAUGCACAUUUGGUGUGGGCAGUUCAUUCUGUCCGUGCCGGAGCUAACGCGCUAAGUACCCCGCCUGGGAAGUACGGUCGCAAGACUAAAACUCAAAGGAAUUGACGG